rnacentral:rRNA from 1 species
CAGCCGCCGCGGUAAUAUGUAGGGUGCGAGCGUUAAUCGGAAUUACUGGGCGUAAAGCGUGCGCAGGCGGUUCGUUAAGACAGAUGUGAAAUCCCCGGGCUUAACCUGGGAACUGCAUUUGUGACUGGCGAGCUAGAGUAUGGCAGAGGGGGGUAGAAUUCCACGUGUAGCAGUGAAAUGCGUAGAGAUGUGGAGGAAUACCGAUGGCGAAGGCAGCCCCCUGGGCCAAUACUGACGCUCAUGCACGAAAGCGUGGGGAGCAAACAGGAUUAGAUACCCGGGUAGUCCCUGUCUCUUAUAC